GCAAGGUUAAAACUCAAAUGAAUUGACGGGGCCCCGCACAAGCGGUGGAGCAUGUGGUUUAAUUCGAUGCAACGCGAAGAACCUUACCUACUCUUGACAUCCUGCGAAUUCGGUAGAGAUACCUUAGUGCCUUCGGGAACGCAGAGACAGGUGCUGCAUGGCUGUCGUCAGCUCGUGUUGUGAAAUGUUGGGUUAAGUCCCGUAACGAGCGCAACCCUUGUCCUUAUUUGCCAGCACGUAAUGGUGGGAACUCUAAGGAGACUGCCGGUGACAAACCGGAGGAAGGUGGGGACGACGUCAAGUCAUCAUGGCCCUUACGAGUAGGGCUACACACGUGCUACAAUGGCCGGUACAAAGGGCUGCGAGCUCGCGAGAGUCAGCGAAUCCCUUAAAGCCGGUCUCAGUCCGGAUCGGAGUCUGCAGCUCGACUCCGUGAAGUCGGAAUCGCUAGUAAUCGUGAAUCAGAAUGUCACGGUGAAUACGUUCCCGGGCCUUGUACACACCGCCCGUCACACCAUGGGAGUGGACUGCACCAGAAGUGGUUAGCCUAACGCAAGAGGGCGAUCACCACGGUGUGGUUCAUGACUGGGGGAAAGUCGUAAC
rnacentral:rRNA from 1 species